AUUUAAAUAGUUUAAAUAAAAUAUUGAUUUGUGGUAUCAAUGAUAAGAAUUGUUCUUUUUAAAUU
rnacentral:tRNA from 1 species